rnacentral:misc_RNA from 1 species
UGGUACGUGAAAAGAAGAAUAAGCAUGAUAUUUAGAGGAAGGUUUCCUUGGUUUCCUCUUCUUUUUAAGAUGACUAUAGGACUCUAGUCUUAGAUUUAUUUUUUCCAAAAACCAAAAAAGAAAAAGCAUUAUAGUUAAUAUUUCUACUUCUGCAGAAAAACCUUUUCAACUAACUGAAACUUGAAAGAUGCUAUUUGAUCAUGUAUGCUCCUUGUAUUGGGAAUAGCUUUUUCAAGUUAUAUAAAAUUAAUGUGGGAAGAAGAGUGGCA